GUUUUCAAAAGCUGCUAUAGUUUAUUCAGUUGAUUGCACUUACUCUAGGAAAAAGUUUGAUUCACAAAAGUUUUAUGUCAUUAUGACCAAGAUUUGGAAGCGGGUUGUUGUGACUUACCUGUGGGUGUGUGUGGUGAUUGCUGGAUGCCUCACAUUGUUUAUUGUACUUCUUGUUUCUGUGAGCAGUGUUUUCUCGAUCAUGGGGUUUCCUCCCGAUUUGAUUUUAUAUCCCG
rnacentral:misc_RNA from 1 species